AUAAAUUAUAUAUUUAAAAAAAAAUUAAUUGCAUAUUUUUAAAUUGGAAGUAAUACAAAUAAAAAAAACAUGAACCUAAUUACAUAAAACCGUUUGUCAACAUGUAAUGAAAGUAUAUUUUCCCUGAUUAUUUAUCGUGGAAAAGAAAAAACAAAUGUGCUACGGCAAAUGGAGUAAGACAGGGUGUGGGAAAGAGACAAACGAGAGUUUGGUCGCCUGCCAAGGAGGGUCGCCGGCCAAAUUUGGUCUUAGCUUAUGGUCAGGUGCUAUGUAAGCCAGAAAUACACAUUCUUUCUCCCUGAAUUCCCGAAAUGGACUUCACCCUCCAGGGUUCACAACAGAAAAGGUCAUAUCAACCCCCGAGGUGCCGAUGUUUUUGAAAAGAGACCACCCAUUCGUUGGGUUCGGAUUUAGGGCCACUGGACUUGAACCCGGGACCUUUACCUCAGCGAUGAGCGCCUUAACCUUUGCGGCCACCAAGGCCCAUCAAUGAUUUAUUGUUUGACGAAAUUCAUUUAUUAACAAUUGCAAAAUUGUAAUUUAAAAUUUUCAAUGUAUUCCAAAAAAAAUACUUUUUCAUUAGAAAAUUGCACCAGAGUCCAUUUAAUCAGGUGUUGCAUUGUUUUUCCGAAAUAAACACCACCCUGUAAAUUG